UACGUAGGUGGCAAGCGUUAUCCGGAAUUAUUGGGCGUAAAGCGCGCGCAGGCGGUUUCUUAAGUCUGAUGUGAAAGCCCACGGCUCAACCGUGGAGGGUCAUUGGAAACUGGGGAACUUGAGUGCAGAAGAGAAAAGCGGAAUUCCUGGUGUAGCGGUGAAAUGCGCAGAUAUCAGGAAGAACACCCGUGGCGAAAGCGGCUCUCUGGAACGGUACUGACGCUGAGACGCGAAAGCGUGGGGAGCGAACAGG
rnacentral:rRNA from 1 species